rnacentral:rRNA from 1 species
UGGGGAAUAUUGGGCAAUGGGCGCAAGCCUGACCCAGCAACGCCGCGUGAGGGAAGAAGGCUUUCGGGUUGUAAACCUCUGUCCUUGGUGACGAAAAAAAUGACGGUAGCCAAGGAGGAAGCCCCGGCUAACUACGUGCCAGCAGCCGCGGUAAUACGUAGGGGGCGAGCGUUGUCCGGAAUUACUGGGCGUAAAGGGUGUGUAGGCGGUCUGGUAAGUUGGAUGUGAAAAGCCCGGGCUUAACCUGGGAGGUGCAUCCAAUACUGUUGGACUAGAGUGCAGGAGAGGAAAGCGGAAUUCCUAGUGUAGCGGUGAAAUGCGUAGAUAUUAGGAGGAACACCAGUGGCGAAGGCGGCUUUCUGGACUGUAACUGACGCUGAGGCACGAAAGCGUGGGGAGCAAACAGG